GCUUAGUUGGUAAAGCACAAAGCUCUUAACCUUGUGGACGUGGAUUCAAGCCCCAU
rnacentral:tRNA from 1 species